rnacentral:tRNA from 1 species
UGGGGUGUAGCCAAGUGGUAAGGCAGCUGUUUUUGGUACAGUGUAUCGUAGGUUCGAAUCCUACCACCCCAG